rnacentral:tRNA from 1 species
CGACUUAGCUCAAUUGGUAGAGCAACUGAUUUGUAAUCAGUAGGUUACGGGUUCAAUUCCUGUAGUCGGC